rnacentral:rRNA from 1 species
GAUGAACGCUGGCGGCGUGCCUAAUACAUGCAAGUCGAGCGAGCGGACGAGAAGCUUGCUUCUCUGAUGUUAGCGGCGGACGGGUGAGUAACACGUGGAUAACCUACCUAUAAGACUGGGAUAACUUCGGGAAACCGGAGCUAAUACCGGAUAAUAUUUUGAACCGCAUGGUUCAAAAGUGAAAGACGGUCUUGCUGUCACUUAUAGAUGGAUCCGCGCUGCAUUAGCUAGUUGGUAAGGUAACGGCUUACCAAGGCAACGAUGCAUAGCCGACCUGAGAGGGUGAUCGGCCACACUGGAACUGAGACACGGUCCAGACUACUACGGGAGGCAGCAGUAGGGAAUCUUCCGCAAUGGGCGAAAGCCUGACGGAGCAACGCCGCGUGAGUGAUGAAGGUCUUCGGAUCGUAAAACUCUGUUAUUAGGGAAGAACAUAUGUGUAAGUAACUGUGCACAUCUUGACGGUACCUAAUCAGAAAGCCACGGCUAACUACGUG